rnacentral:rRNA from 1 species
GACGAACGCUGGCGGCGCGCCUAACACAUGCAAGUCGAACGAGCGCGAGAGAGCUUGCUUUCUUGGGCGAGUGGCGAACGGGUGAGUAACGCGUGAGGAACCUGCCUCAACGAGGGGGACAAAAGUUGGAAACGACUGCUAAUACCCCAUAAACCCACGGUGCCGCAUGGCACAGAGGGAGAACGAGCAAUCCGCUUUGAGAUGGCCUCGCGUCCGAUUGGCUAGGUGGUGAGGUAACGGCCCACCAAGGCGACGGACGGUAGCCGGACUGAGAGGUUGAACGGCCACAUUGGGACUGAGACACGGCCCGGACUCCUACGCGAGGCAGCAGUGGGGGAUAUUGCACAAUGGGGGAAACCCUGAUGCACCGACGCCGCGUGGAGGAAGAAGGUCUUGGGAUUGAAAUCUCCAGUUGUUGGGGAAGAUAAUGACGGUACCUAACAAGGAAGUGACGGCUAACUACGUG